rnacentral:rRNA from 1 species
AACGAACGCUGGCGGCAGGCCUAACACAUGCAAGUCGAGCGAGGACUUCGGUUCUAGCGGCGGACGGGUGAGUAACGCGUGGGAAUGUGCCCUUCUCUACGGAAUAGCCCUGGGAAACUGGGAGUAAUACCGUAUACGCCCUAUUGGGGAAAGAUUUAUCGGAGAAGGAUCAGCCCGCGUUGGAUUAGGUAGUUGGUGGGGUAAGGGCCUACCAAGCCGACGAUCCAUAGCUGGUUUGAGAGGAUGAUCAGCCACACUGGGACUGAGACACGGCCCAGACUACUACGGGAAGCAGCAGAGGGGAAUCUUAGACAAUGGGGGCAACCCUGAUCGAGCCAUGCCGCGUGAGUGAUGAAGGCCUUAGGGUUGUAAAGCUCUUUCAGCUGGGAAGAUAAUGACGGUACCAGCAGAAGAAGCCCCGGCUAACUCCGUG